AUUGCCUCAGUAACGGCGAGUGAAGCGGCAACAGCUCAAAUUUGAAAUCUGGCCCUAGGCCCGAGUUGUAAUUUGCAGAGGAUGCUUUUGGCGAGGUGCCUUCCGAGUUCCCUGGAACGGGACGCCAUAGAGGGUGAGAGCCCCGUCUGGUCGGACACCGAGCCUCUGUAAAGCUCCUUCGACGAGUCGAGUAGUUUGGGAAUGCUGCUCUAAAUGGGAGGUAUAUGUCUUCUAAAGCUAAAUACCGGCCAGAGACCGAUAGCGCACAAGUAGAGUGAUCGAAAGAUGAAAAGCACUUUGAAAAGAGAGUUAAAUAGCACGUGAAAUUGUUGAAAGGGAAGCGUUUAUGACCAGACUUGGCCCGGUUGAUCAUCCAGCGUUCUCGCUGGUGCACUCUGCCGGUCCAGGCCAGCAUCAGUUCGUCGCGGGGGAUAAAGGUUUCGGGAAUGUGGCUCCUCCGGGAGUGUUAUAGCCCGUUGCGUAAUACCCUGCGGUGGACUGAGGUCCGCGCUUCUGCAAGGAUGCUGGCGUAAUGGUCAUCAACGACCCGUCUUGAAACACGGACCAAGGAGUCGUCUUCGUAUGCGAGUGUUCGGGUGUAAAACCCCUACGCGUAAUGAAAGUGAACGCAGGUGAGAGCUUCGGCGCAUCAUCGACCGAUCCUGAUGUUCUCGGAUGGAUUUGAGUAAGAGCAUACGGGGCCGGACCCGAAAGAAGGUGAACUAUGCCUGUAUAGGGUGAAGCCAGAGGAAACUCUGGUGGAGGCUCGCAGCGGUUCUGACGUGCAAAUCGAUCGUCAAAUAUGGGCAUGGGGGCGAAAGACUAAU
rnacentral:rRNA from 2 species